UAGGGAUCUUCCACAAUGGGCGAAAGCCUGAUGGAGCAAUGCCGCGUGUGUGAUGAAGGGUUUCGGCUCGUAAAACACUGUUGUAAGAGAAGAAUGACAUUGAGAGUAACUGUUCAAUGUGUGACGGUAUCUUACCAGAAAGGAACGGCUAAAUACGUACCAG
rnacentral:rRNA from 1 species